ACUCAAAUGAAUAGACGGGGGCCCGCACAAGCGGUGGAGUAUGUGGUUUAAUUCGACGCAACGCGAAGAACCUUACCCAGACUUGACAUUGAUGGAAUCCCUUGGAAACUUGGGAGUACCCUUCGGGGACCUGAAAACAGGUGCUGCAUGGCUGUCGUCAGCUCGUGUCGUGAGAUGUUGGGUUAAGUCCCGCAACGAGCGCAACCCUCGCCGUUAGUUGCCAUCAGGUAAAGCUGGGCACUCUAGCGGGACUGCCGGUGUUAAACCGGAGGAAGGUGGGGAUGACGUCAAGUCCUCAUGGCCUUUAUGUCUGGGGCUACACACGUACUACAAUGGCCACUACAGUGCGUUGCGAACUCGCGAGAGGGAGCCAAUCGCAAAAAAGUGGUCUCAGUUCGGAUCGAAGUCUGCAACUCGACUUCGUGAAGUCGGAAUCGCUAGUAAUCGAGGAUCAGCAUGCCUCGGUGAAUACGUUCCCGGGCCUUGUACACACCGCCCGU
rnacentral:rRNA from 1 species